rnacentral:rRNA from 1 species
UACGUAGGGUGCGAGCGUUUGUCCGGAAUUAUUGGGCGUAAAGAGCUCGUAGGCGGUUUGUCGCGUCGGCCGUGAAAUCUCCACGCUUAACGUGGAGCGUGCGGUCGAUACGGGCAGACUUGAGUUCGGUAGGGGAGACUGGAAUUCCUGGUGUAGCGGUGAAAUGCGCAGAUAUCAGGAGGAACACCGGUGGCGAAGGCGGGUCUCUGGACAGUUCCUGACGGCUGAGGCACGGAAGGUCAGGGGAGCAAACGGG